AGUGAACGCUGGCGGUAGGCCUAACACAUGCAAGUCGAACGGCAGCACAGUAAGAGCUUGCUCUUACGGGUGGCGAGUGGCGGACGGGUGAGGAAUACAUCGGAAUCUACUUUUUCGUGGGGGAUAACGUAGGGAAACUUACGCUAAUACCGCAUACGACCUACGGGUGAAAGCAGGGGAUCUUCGGACCUUGCGCGAUUGAAUGAGCCGAUGUCGGAUUAGCUAGUUGGCGGGGUAAAGGCCCACCAAGGCGACGAUCCGUAGCUGGUCUGAGAGGAUGAUCAGCCACACUGGAACUGAGACACGGUCCAGACUCCUACGGGAGGCAGCAGUGGGGAAUAUUGGACAGUGGGCGCAAGCCUGAUCCAGCCAUACCGCGUGGGUGAAGAAGGCCUUCGGGAUGUAAAGCCCUUUUGUUGGGAAAGAAAAGCAGCAGGUUAAUACCCCGCUGUUCUGACGGUACCCAAAGAAUAAGCACCGGCUAACUUCGUG
rnacentral:rRNA from 1 species